rnacentral:rRNA from 1 species
GGGCCCGCACAAGCGGUGGAGCAUGUGGUUUAAUUCGAUGAUACGCGAGGAACCUUACCAGGGCUUAAAUGUAGUUUGACCGGUCUGGAAACAGACUUUCUCUUCGGAGCAGAUUACAAGGUGCUGCAUGGUUGUCGUCAGCUCGUGCCGUGAGGUGUUAGGUUAAGUCCUGCAACGAGCGCAACCCCUAUUCUUAGUUGCCAGCGGUUCGGCCGGGGACUCUAAGAAGACUGCCAGCGCAAGCUGAGAGGAAGGUGGGGAUGACGUCAAAUCAUCACGGCCUUACGUCCUGGGCUACACACGUGCUACAAUGGCCGGUACAAACGGUUGCGAACCCGCGAGGGAAGCUAA